UACGUAGGGGGCAAGCGUUGUCCGGAAUUAUUGGGCGUAAAGAGCGCGUAGGCGGUCCGGUAAGUCGGCUGUGAAAGUCAAGGGCUCAACCCUUGAAAGCCGGCCGAUACUGUCGGACUAGAGUCCGGAAGAGGCGAGUGGAAUUCCCGGUGUAGCGGUGAAAUGCGCAGAUAUCGGGAGGAACACCUAUGGCGAAGGCAGCUCGCUGGGACGUUACUGACGCUGAGACGCGAAAGCGUGGGGGAGCAAACAGG
rnacentral:rRNA from 1 species